rnacentral:tRNA from 1 species
UCCUUUCUAGUUUAUUAUAAAACACUGAUUUUGUAAAUCAAAAAAAUACAAAGGAA